rnacentral:rRNA from 1 species
GAAAGAUGCUUUCGGGCAUAGUGGCGCACGGGUGCGUAACGCGUGGGAAUCUGCCCUUUGGUCUGGGAUAACUGUUGGAAACGACAGCUAAUACCGGAUGAUGACGUAAGUCCAAAGAUUUAUCGCCAGAGGAUGAGCCCGCGUCGGAUUAGCUAGUUGGUGGGGUAAAGGCCUACCAAGGCGACGAUCCGUAGCUGGUCUGAGAGGAUGAUCAGCCACACUGGGAGUGAGACACGGCCCAGACUCCUACGGGAGGCAGCAGUGGGGAAUAUUGGACAAUGGGCGAAAGCCUGAUCCAGCAAUGCCGCGUGAGUGAUGAAGGCCUUAGGGUUGUAAAGCUCUUUUACCCGGGAUGAUAAUGACAGUACCGGGAGAAUAAGCUCCGGCUAACUCCGUG